AGAACGAACGCUGGCGGCGUGCCUAACACAUGCAAGUCGAGCGCGAAUUGGAGCAAUCCAUAGUAGAGCGGCGCACGGGUGCGUAACACGUGGGUAAUCUGCCUCAAAGAUCGGAAUAACCUGCCGAAAGGCUGGCUAAUGCCGGAUAAGCCUACGGACUCUUCGGAGCCUGAAGGAAAAGGUGGCCUCUGUAUACAAGCUAUCACUUUGAGAUGAGCCCGCGGCCCAUCAGCUAGUUGGCGGGUAACGGCCCGACCAAGGCAACGACGGGUAGCUGGUCUGAGAGGACGAUCAGCCACACUGGAACUGAGACACGGUCCAGACUCCUACGGGAGGCAGCAGUGGGGAAUUUUGCACAAUGGGCGAAAGCCUGAUGCAGCAACGCCGCGUGUGUGAUGAAGGUCUUCGGAUUGUAAAGCACUUUCGACCGGGUACGAACACCCCUUGGCCAAUAUCCAAGGGCCUGACUGUACCUGGAGAAGAAGCAA
rnacentral:rRNA from 1 species